GAUGAACGCUGGCGGCGUGCCUAAUACAUGCAAGUCGAGCGAACGGACGAGAAGCUUGCUUCUCUGAUGUUAGCGGCGGACGGGUGAGUAACACGUGGAUAACCUACCUAUAAGACUGGGAUAACUUCAGGAAACCGGAGCUAAUACCGGAUAAUAUUUUGAACCGCAUGGUUCAAAAGUGAAAGACGGUCUUGCUGUCACUUAUAGAUGGAUCCGCGCUGCAUUAGCUAGUUGGUAAGGUAACGGCUUACCAAGGCAACGAUGCAUAGCCGACCUGAGAGGGUGAUCGGCCACACUGGAACUGAGACACGGUCCAGACUCCUACGGGAGGCAGCAGUAGGGAAUCUUCCGCAAUGGGCGAAAGCCUGACGGAGCAACGCCGCGUGAGUGAUGAAGGUCUUCGGAUCGCAAAACUCUGUUAUUAGGGAAGAACAUAUGUGUAAGUAACUGUGCACAUCUUGACGGUACCUAAUCAGAAAGCCACGGCUAACUACGUG
rnacentral:rRNA from 1 species